ACUAGCGAUUCCGACUUCAUGGAGUCGAGUUGCAGACUCCAAUCCGGACUACGACAUACUUUAUGAGGUCCGCUUGCUCUCGCGAGGUCGCUUCUCUUUGUAUAUGCCAUUGUAGCACGUGUGUAGCCCUGGUCGUAAGGGCCAUGAUGACUUGACGUCAUCCCCACCUUCCUCCAGUUUAUCACUGGCAGUCUCCUUUGAGUUCCCGGCCUAACCGCUGGCAACAAAGGAUAAGGGUUGCGCUCGUUGCGGGACUUAACCCAACAUUUCACAACACGAGCUGACGACAGCCAUGCAGCACCUGUCUCACAGUUCCCGAAGGCACCAAUCCAUCUCUGGAAAGUUCUGUGGAUGUCAAGACCAGGUAAGGUUCUUCCGUUGCAUCGAAUUAAACCACAUGCUCCACCGCUUGUGCGGCCCCCGUCAUUCUUUGAGUUUUACCUUGC
rnacentral:rRNA from 1 species